AUGUGCCUUUGGAGCUGGCUCCACAAAUGGAAGAGGGCACUGAAGAGGACUUCUCCAUUUCCUGGAUAUUUGCAUCAUAUGGUGGCAGUAUCGGAAGAAGGAGGGGAAGCAGAUUUGGGACCCCAGUCCCAGGCAGAGUUGCAGAUUCCACUUGUUAAAACAAGAGUUCCCAGAGGGAGCCCUAACGGCAGGCUCCAGAUGGGGCAGGCACAACGUAUCAAACUGUAAUUCCACUCACGGGUUCGAGGAUCAAAUCCUAUAUCUCUCCAAAGGAUGUAAGUUGAAUUUGAUGCCUAAAUCCCAAAGCAUUUUGCUCAGCUGCUGCAUAACCCUGUACACUAUAGGAACAUGAAACUUUGCCUCUGUGCAUGCUCCCAGAUGCUUUAUAUUUGACAAUAUUGAGCAUUUUGGCAUCUGUGUUACACCUGAGUCCUUUCAGGUUUCACCGAGUGGAUGCUGUGCCAUCUGUCAGCGUGGAUGUUUGAUGCAUUUGACAUGCUCUCAGCCUAGUGCCUGGAACAGAAACUGGGAUCUUUACUGAAAGAGAGGAAAAGGAAAAUCUUGAGUUGUAGCCUCUUUUUUUUUUU
rnacentral:lncRNA from 1 species